rnacentral:rRNA from 1 species
CGAACGCUGGCGGCGUGCUUAACACAUGCAAGUCGAACGGAAAGGCCCUGCUUUUGUGGGGUGCUCGAGUGGCGAACGGGUGAGUAACACGUGAGUAACCUGCCCUUGACUUUGGGAUAACUUCAGGAAACUGGGGCUAAUACCGGAUAGGAGCUCCUGCUGCAUGGUGGGGGUUGGAAAGUUUCGGCGUUUGGGGAUGGACUCGCGGCUUAUCAGCUUGUUGGUGGGGUAGUGGCUUACCAAGGCUUUGACGGGUAGCCGGCCUGAGAGGGUGACCGGCCACAUUGGGACUGAGAUACGGCCCAGACUCCUACGGGAGGCAGCAGUGGGGAAUAUUGCACAAUGGGCGGAAGCCUGAUGCAGCAACGCCGCGUGCGGGAUGACGGCCUUCGGGUUGUAAACCGCUUUCGCCUGUGACGAAGCGUGAGUGACGGUAAUGGGUAAAGAAGCACCGGCUAACUACGUG